UACGUAGGGUCCGAGCGUUGUCCGGAAUUAUUGGACGUAAAGGGCUCGUAGGCGGUUUGUUGCGUCGGGAGUGAAAUCCUCCAGCUUAACUGGAGGCUUGCUUUCGAUACGGGCAGACUUGAGGUAUUCAGGGGAGAAUGGAAUUCCUGGUGUAGCGGUGAAAUGCGCAGAUAUCAGGAGGAACACCGGUGGCGAAGGCGGCUAUCUGGACCGUAACUGACGCUGAGGCGCGAAAGCGUGGGGAGCAAACAGG
rnacentral:rRNA from 1 species